rnacentral:rRNA from 1 species
CACGGGUCCUACUCCUACGGGAGGCAGCAGUGCGGAAYUUUGGUCAAUGGAGGAAACUCUGAACCAGCGACGCCGCGUGUGAGACGAAGGUCUYCGGAUUGUAAAACACUGUGGUAAGGGAAAAACAUCUCAUAGAGUGGAAAGCUGUGAGGAAGGAUGGUACCUUACUAGAAAGCCCCGGCUAACUACGUGCCAGCAGCCGCGGUAAUACGUAGGGGGCAAGCGUUGCCYGGAAUCACUGGGCGUGAAGGGAGCGUAGGYGGCCUAAAAAGUCUACUGUGAAAAAUCGGAGCUCAACUCCGAUCUUGCGGUAGAAACUAGUAGGCUUGAGGACGGUAGAGGAARACGGAACAGCUGGYGUAGGGGUAAAAUCCUUAGAUAUCAGCUGGAACGCCGGUGACGAAGGYGGUYUUCUGGGCCGGACCUGACGCUGAGGCUCGAAAGCCAGGGUAGCGAACGGGAUUAGAUACCCCGGUAGUC